AUGUAAAAAGCCGUUCCUAUGAAUUUGACUUGUCCUUACUUCUAGGAACAAGAUAUCUGAAAACAGCUUGCCGUUUCCAAGCAUUGUCUUGGUUAGAUAUAGAUGCGUUGCUUUGCAGGGAGCACCAGCAAAUUUAGAAUGAGAACUAUGUAUAUCCUCUGCUUUCUGCUUGCAUUGAUGGCAUGUUCUUCAAUUCUACCUGCGAAAGGACAAGGAAGAGCAGAUAGAGCUCUUUGGUGGCCCUGGGGUGGUUUCGGACCGAAGCGGUGCCCUGCAGGCCAAGUUUACAAGGAAUGCCAAAGCAGCUCCUGCGGCGAGUGGAAAUGCUACCAUCUGUUUCAACGAGGUCCAAGAGCGUGUACUUCUGACUGCGCAAGCCGAUGCUUUUGUCGCUGGGGCCUUUUCAGAGAUGACAGCAACAGAUGCGUACCAAUAUGGGGUUGUCGGAGAGGUGCCGGUCGAGCAGAGUAGUUGGGAUAAGUGGGUGCUACAGAUGGAGGGGCUACGGAAAAAAAGCUGCCACUUGGCGGCUUGACGAGUCCGCAGACCCAUAUAUAAGGCAGCGUCUAGACAGCACCAGAUCACAAACAAGCGAUAAACAAAUCAAGACACUUGAUCAAAGCAAAUAAAUAAAAUA